GUUAGGCAGCUCUGCGUCCGACUGCCCCGCAGCUCCGGGGAGGCAGUGACGAGGGCGGGGGACUCCGAAAAGUGGCAGAGGUGGCGGGGGGGCCGGUCUGAGAGGAGUGGCGGGAAUCCUAGCGACAGCUAUUUGUAAGUGGGUGAUGAGCCGCGGUGGGUUGUGUCCCGCGCGGUUUCACCGUCAGGGAAGACGCUCUGCGGAGGGAAGCGGGCGGCUGGGCGCCCCGGGGCGGCUGCCGCAGGGCGGGACGGGGGCUCUUGGGGCGCGGCGCCCCUCUCCCCCCACAGAGCCAGCGGCUCUCGCUUGCCCCUUCCUCCUGGCCGAGGGGCUUGGGUUGGAGGGAUCGGGACACAGCUAAAGAUUUUAGAAACAGCGCAUCAGGAUCGAGCGCCGUUUAUUGGUCGCAACAAGUGACGGCGCCCCCAGCCCCCUCGCCCCGGCGCUGCAGCGGCUUUUUCCACCCACUGUCCCUCCCGGUGCAGCGGCGGGACCUCGUCCAGCUGCCCGCCAGGGAAGCGAAAACCGUCGGUGCCGGCGGGCCCCCGAAGCUCCCGAUCCCGGCGACGACGCCCGGGCAUCGGAGGAGGAACCCGCGGCCCGGGGCGCUGUCCAGGGGGUGCCUCGGAGCCCGGAAGCUGGCUCCUUCCGGUGCCAGGCCACGCGCACCGCUCUCCGCACGCCUUCCAGAGAGGGUCCCGGGAUUAUGCGCGCGGCUCCGGGGAAGCUUUCAGGGGGUUCAGUGGUCUCGCCCAGCAGCGGGGCCUGGUGGCGGGGACACAUUCGAACUGAGGCAAAGAUGAAAAUAAGCAAACGCGCAGAAACGAAGUCACUAACACGAGUAGCCACCACCAGGAACCGAGGAGCUCGGGGGCGACGCUUCCCGAAGCGUGGGAGGGGAGGCUGGCUGCGCUCGCAGAAUGGGAGAGUAGAGGGGGAGGGGGCGGGAACCCGGGGCCCCUCACCCUGCAGGGAGACUCCGCGUGGCGUUCUCCGGAUCCCAGGGAACUGAUCCCAGGGAACCCUCACCCUGCGGGACCGUCGUGGGUUGCUUUCGGAAGCAGGACAACCGGCAGGCGGAGGGCGGGGAGAGUCACCACCUCCCUGGGCCAGGGUUCACACCUUUGCACCACAGGACUUGUGAACUGUGUGUUUCCUAUAUGACUAAGAGAAAAAGGGAAUUCUAAUUUUGGAGAGGGAGUAAGGCUUCGGUAACUCUUUGUUCUGAAUUCAGUUCCCUGGAAAGUAACUCGCGCGGACCUGUAGUUAAAUCAGCAGCAGCCAAGGGUUUCGCUCAGCCGAGGUAACCGUUAAGCGCCAGACAGUUUGGUUUUCAGGCGAUUUGAAAUUUGUGGCCUUGGCCAGGGUUUGGCUAUAAGGGAAAGGUUCGAGAUCGCUGCGCUCCAGCACCCCUUUCGUUCACCACCAGCAGUUUAUUUCUCUUAGCCCCGGGAAUCGUAACCUCCUAACCUUUUAGCGCUGCAUCACGUUGCCUUAAUAGACAGGAUCCAUUUCUCUCGUGGUUCUUCUGUUUUCUGCCUCUUACUUCCACCUCUGUGCUGAACGCGACACUUCAGCCAAAGUGCUGAAGUCGUGAUUUACCGCAACAGAGGAAGAAAAAAAAAUUACAGCAGGGAUCAGCAGCAUCACAGCAGCCCUUCAUUUGGGCCAGCAUUUGGGGCUCUGGAUGCUCACUUUGGUGAGCUCUAGAGAGCUCGGGGUCAACCAGUCCACCAGCUUAUGUGCCCGGUGCCUAGGAGGGCCACGUCCCUGCUCCCGACAGGUGGGCACUCAAAAAAAGUUUGUGAAUGGCCCAGGGUGCCAACUUUCCAGGAAUAGCUGGAAAGCAUUAUACUGAAACACGUGCUUCCGGUUCUCUGGGGAGCCCUUGGUUUUUGUUGCUAAAACUUGUGGUUACACACUAUUGGCUGUUUAAGUGACUCUGUUUUUGUAGAGUUAAUGUUAUUUAGGAAAUAAUGAAGUCUGAAGCACCAGUUCAAAUUAUGUGUAUGUGUGUGGUAUAGUCAAAAUAUAUUGAUUCAAAACUCUGAAAAUUAACUUUUUACAGAUAUCAGCAAAUAACAGAUUUCUGCUUCUAGAGACUAUCCCAAUAAAAGCAUGGCUGCUUUAAGCCAUCCUAAGUGCAUAUUAUUAAUAUAAAGAAGUGGCUGCACAAACCUACUUUUGGAAUGAUUCAUUUCUGCCCGCAAUUAUAAUUGCAUCCAUUUGUGAUACUAACAUUAGGUAAAAGAUUUGGGGCUGAUUCAGCUAUCUUACUCUUCUCAUUUAUGCAAGACAAUUUAGCUUAAUAUUUGAAACCUACAGAGGCAUAAAACCGCACAUUUUCUCCACUUUGUUGCAUGCAAUUCUUUUGGAAAGAAAAAAACCUUAACCCCCAUCUCCCACAAAACCAGAUACUAGAUGAGCUCCUUUUAAAAAUUGUGAAAAAUUAAGAAUACCAUGUUUAGCGAGGUUAAAUGAUCUAGAUGAAUAAAAAUGUAGAUCUAAAGGUUAAAUAGCUAUUUGACCUAUUGGUAUCAGGGUACCAAGGGUCUAGACUCAAGCACAUCACCUUUGGAGCUACUUAAUAAAUAUUAAUGACAUUAAAUAAAUCCUUUAGUUUAUCCAUUCAUUCAACAAACAUAUAGUACAAGUAUUUUGUGCUAAGUAUUCUGUUAGCCACAGAGGACUUAAAGAUGAACACAGCGCCUUCAUCCUUAGCAACAGUGGGAUUGUGUGGCAGAAAAGGGGGGAGCGCCAGGAGGGCAAGUACAUCAGCUUGACAGCAGUAGCAGACAAAGCUUCCUGGAGAAGGAAUUACAGUGUCUUUGAAAACUUACUUCAUUAUUUCUAAUUAUAAAAGUAACACAGGCUCAUUGUGGUACAUAAAAGAAAAACAAAUUUAUAAUUAAGUAAACGCGCUCUCUUCAGUGUUCACCAUCCCCAACCUUACUACACAGAGCUUGCUGUGUUCAGUGUGGAAACUUUCAGUCUUUUUUGUAUGUAUGUUUAUACACACGCAAACUCCUCCUUUAAAAAAAUAACAAAACUAGGAUAUCAUAUAUAUUUGUCUAUAAUUUCCUACUUUAAAAAGCGUAUUAUGGUAAUUAGCCUUCUAGAUAGUCUCCAGUGAUACCCGCUUCCUGGUAUUCACACCCUUAUGUUAACUCCUCCCACGCUGUACCAGGGUUGGUCUGUGUAGCUAACAGAACCUGGCAGAAGUGAUGACGGUCACUCCUGACUUUAGGUUAUACUGAGACUUCCAUCUUGUAUGUCCUUUUUUCUCUUGUAUCAUUGAGUCUGGGGAAGCCGAAUGCCACAUUGUAGGGACAUUCUGCCUAUGGAAAAUCCCAUGUGGUUGAGUAAUUGAGGCCUGAUAACCAUGUGAAUAGCUGUGAUGUCAUGAGAAAACCUGAGCUCAAACAACUCAGUUGUUUCUGGAUUCCUGACCAUAGAAACUGUGAGA
rnacentral:lncRNA from 1 species